rnacentral:rRNA from 1 species
GUGGGGAAUUUUGGACAAUGGGCGCAAGCCUGAUCCAGCAAUGCCGCGUGCAGGAAGAAGGCCUUCGGGUUGUAAACUGCUUUUGUACGGAACGAAACGGUCCUGGUUAAUACCUGGGGCUAAUGACGGUACCGUAAGAAUAAGCACCGGCUAACUACGUGCCAGCAGCCGCGGUAAUACGUAGGGUGCAAGCGUUAAUCGGAAUUACUGGGCGUAAAGCGUGCGCAGGCGGUUUUGUAAGACAGGCGUGAAAUCGCCGGGCUCAUCCUGGGAAUUGCGAUUGUGACUGCAAGGCUGGAGUGCGGCAGAGGGGGAUGGAAUUCCGCGUGUAGCAGUGAAAUGCGUAGAUAUGCGGAGGAACACCGAUGGCGAAGGCAAUCCCCUGGGCCUGCACUGACGCUCAUGCACGAAAGCGUGGGGAGCAAACAGGAUUAGAAACCCCAGUAGUCC